rnacentral:tRNA from 1 species
GCGAAAGUAGCUCAGUUGGUAGAGCACAACCUUGCCAAGGUUGGGGUCGCGAGUUCGAGUCUCGUCUUUCGCUCGA